rnacentral:rRNA from 1 species
AUGGAAUUCUUGUUGUUGGUAUGGACUCUAAACAUGCAAGCGUCAAACAUCAUGACUCUUGAUACUUGCCCUAUAUUUCAUCUUCUUAAGGUUAACAAUAUGUUUUUUUGUAAGGUGCAUAGCAUUUGGAAGGACGAGAACUUGCUCGCAUUUUCCCCCUUGUGCAAAGAAUUUGAUUGGAAUGCAGCUCUGCAUCUUUAUAGCAUAUAUUCAGGAAAACAGAAGGCAUCUGAGUGGCAGAAUGGUUCAUUAAUCCUUGGUAGUGUUUUGCUCUGUUCCUGGAUAGGACAGCUGCACACAGGAGUAGAGGGGUAUUUUCAUCAUUUCGUUUAUUUACCCCUGGGAUAG